UACGGGGGGGGCAAGCGUUGUUCGGAAUUACUGGGCGUAAAGGGCUCGUAGGUGGCCAACUAAGUCAGACGUGAAAUCCCUCAGCUUAACUGGGGAACUGCGUCUGAUACUGGAUGGCUUGAGUUUGGGAGAGGGAUGCGGAAUUCCAGGUGUAGCGGUGAAAUGCGUAGAUAUCUGGAGGAACACCGGUGGCGAAGGCGGCAUCCUGGACCAACACUGACACUGAGGAGCGAAAGCCAGGGGAGCAACGGG
rnacentral:rRNA from 1 species